GACGAACGCUGGCGGCGUGCUUAACACAUGCAAGUCGAACGGUGACCUCGAGAGCUUGCUCUCGAGUGAUCAGUGGCGAACGGGUGAGUAACACGUGAGUAACCUGCCCCAGACUCUGGAAUAACCCCGGGAAACCGGAGCUAAUACCGGAUACGAGACGGAGCCGCAUGGCUACCGUCUGGAAAGUUUUUCGGUCUGGGAUGGACUCGCGGCCUAUCAGCUUGUUGGUGAGGUAACGGCUCACCAAGGCGACGACGGGUAGCCGGCCUGAGAGGGCGACCGGCCACACUGUGACUGAGACACGGCCCAGACUCCUACGGGAGGCAGCAGUGGGGAAUAUUGCACAAUGGGCGAAAGCCUGAUGCAGCGACGCCGCGUGAGGGAUGACGGCCUUCGGGUUGUAAACCUCUUUCAGCAGGGAAGAAGCGAAAGUGACGGUACCUGCAGAAGAAGCACCGGCUAACUACGUGCCAGCAGCCGCCGUAACAC
rnacentral:rRNA from 1 species